CAUGGUUCGAAAUUGAAAGGCGGCUUCGGCUGUCACUUAUGGAUGGACCCGCGUCGCAUUAGCUAGUUGGUGAGGUAACGGCUCACCAAGGCAACGAUGCGUAGCCGACCUGAGAGGGUGAUCGGCCACACUGGGACUGAGACACGGCCCAGACUCCUACGGGAGGCAGCAGUAGGGAAUCUUCCGCAAUGGACGAAAGUCUGACGGAGCAACGCCGCGUGAGUGAUGAAGGCUUUCGGGUCGUAAAACUCUGUUGUUAGGGAAGAACAAGUGCUAGUUGAAUAAGCUGGCACCUUGACGGUACCUAACCAGAAAGCCACGGCUAACUACGUGCCAGCAGCCGCGGUAAUACGUAGGUGGCAAGCGUUAUCCGGAAUUAUUGGGCGUAAAGCGCGCGCAGGUGGUUUCUUAAGUCUGAUGUGAAAGCCCACGGCUCAACCGUGGAGGGUCAUUGGAAACUGGGAGACUUGAGUGCAGAAGAGGAAAGUGGAAUUCCAUGUGUAGCGGUGAAAUGCGUAGAGAUAUGGAGGAACACCAGUGGCGAAGGCGACUUUCUGGUCUGUAACUGAC
rnacentral:rRNA from 1 species